rnacentral:rRNA from 1 species
UACGUAGGGGGCAAGCGUUGUCCGGAAUUAUUGGGCGUAAAGAGCGCGUAGGCGGUCCGAUAAGUCGGCUGUGAAAGUCUAGGGCUCAACCCUGGAAAGCCGGCCGAUACUGUCGGACUAGAGUCCGGAAGAGGCAAGUGGAAUUCCCGGUGUAGCGGUGAAAUGCGCAGAUAUCGGGAGGAACACCAAUGGCGAAGGCGGCCUACUGGGUCAGUACUGACGCUGAGCCGCGAAAGCCAGGGGAGCGAACGGG